UAUGGGUUAGUGGCGGACGGGUGAGUAACGCGUGGGUAACCUGCCUUACACAGGGGGAUAACACUUAGAAAUAGGUGCUAAAACCGCAUAAGCGCACAGCUUCGCAUGAAGCGGUGUGAAAAACUCCGGUGGUGUAAGAUGGACCCGCGUCUGAUUAGCUUGUUGGCGGGGUAACGGCCCACCAAGGCGACGAUCAGUAGCCGGCCUGAGAGGGCGGACGGCCACAUUGGGACUGAGACACGGCCCAGACUCCUACGGAAGGCAGCAG
rnacentral:rRNA from 1 species